ensembl:lincRNA
AUGACUAGCAGUUGCACAGUCAUGGAAGGACAAGAGCCUUCAGUGGUAGAAGCUGGGAAGAUGGGAGCCAGGAGGCAGAGAGAUGGCCCAAGUCACAGCUCCAUGCAGGAGCGACAAUGUCAGAAAAUACCACCGGGAAGGAAACUUUUGUGUCAAGUCCAAUCCGAGCCUCCCCAUGGAUCAGGGAUGCUGAAUGUGGAGGAGAACAGAGGGAUGGGAAGGAGCGCCCGCCCUCCAUCAGAAUUCAGAUGCUUUCCCAGGUGCUUGGCAGAGACACCACAAGACCCCAGCAGAAUGCUGCAAUUCGGAGGAACCUUGGACAGUAGCCUCAUCGACCCCAUCACCCACUGGAGAGGACCCCACACCCCAGCGAGGACAGCCAGACCAGACUCGGGGUUCGCAGUGGUCUCAGCAUUUCUUUGAGCCAAGGAGGCCACCAGAAGUCAUACAGCAGAAAACAAGCAGGUCUAAAUAAAUAAGGUGGUGGUGACAUUUUCCGUAGUUUGUCUCCUGGAACCAUCUAGAGAAUCUGAGAAACAACUCUUCAGACUGUUGCUACCACCUUCAGGUCUGGGCUGAUCAAACACGGGUUGGUUAUAAUCAACCCCUUCCUCUCGCCGCUCCCUGAUCAUGAUGGAUUGAUCUGAUUUCAGGAAAGGGGCUGUGCUGGGGGUAGGGUUGUUGAUGUCCAUCCAGCUUGCACCUGGUAGUGACCCACAAAUCCCAUAAAGAAUCAUGGGCAGGACCCAGAACCUCAGCCAGCAGGAAGUGGACGCUCUUCUGGAUGAUUUGAAAGACCUGCUACUGGUCUCCAGUGCACAUGAAUGGAAGUCUGGGGAGAAGCCUGGCACCCAGGAAGGUCCAACUGCCAACCCAGGGGAAGCAAAGUCCCCAGGUACUGGCCAUUUGGGCGAGCUGCACGCUGAUAUCCAAGGUAAGUGCACUGCUCCGUGUUGUUAAAACCUCAGGAACGUAGGUGAGAGAUGCGGACAUUUGGCAAAUGCUGUGUUAUAGAUGCUGUGUGAGGAGAGGAGUACGAUGGGGACUCUGACCCCAAGGAGCUUGGAGCCCAGAGACACAGACACAGGCAGGGAGAGCAGAGGCCCGGAUGCAGCAGUACACUGUGCAGAAGAGACACCAUGGAGGGAGAAGUCAGCCACACUCCAGGUCGGGAAGGUUUCUCAAGUGGCGACAAUUCUAUGGGUCUUGAGGGUGAUCUGAGAUUUGCCCCUGGACAAAGUAGAAAGCACAUUCCAAGAAGCCACAGCGUAAGAAACGUGACAGGCACCAUAGGGCACUUCGGAUAGUUCGGCUCUGCUGAAGGUAGAAUCCUACCAAAGAGGAUCACAUAGAUGCAGAUGGGAGGAGGUGGGGAGUAGGCCAGAGAGGCUGCCUGGCCUGGCUAACAGUGGGAUCUUAUUACAUAAGACCGCGUGGGAUUCCUUUCACAGCACACGGCGCACAAAACAAUAGAACCAACAUCAGCAGGACAGCGGGUACCACAAGCAAUGUUUCCAUCACUGAUUGUGAUGGAGCCGAAAGCAAAUUUCCUGUUCCCUCUCAAAGUCAUAGUGUCACAUCCCUCUCGUAUGUAGAGAUGCUAGUGCAAAGUUCUACAGAGAAUCAAGCAAUACAAUUAUAUAUACCACUUACAAAAUAGUAAGAAACGACCAUUACUGGUUUAUGCCUUUACCACAUUCUACUUAGUUAAUCUACAAUGUGCUCCUUGCACUUACUUAAAAAAAAAAAAAAAAAAAAAAAAAAAAAAAAAAA